rnacentral:lncRNA from 1 species
GAUUACCACUUAGAGUGCCUCGGCCCUCCAGCAGAUUGGCAGGAGGAGAAUGGUCAUAUUCCCUAAUAUAUGUACGAAUUCCUGAAGGAUUAAAUCUAGUUUUCCCGCGCCAACCUUUGGCACACAUAAAGCCUGCACUUAAAACAGGUACAGUCUCAUCCCCAUCUACCGAAUAGACUCCGUCCUUCAGACAGCUAUCUUCAUCGUCAGCUGAAGUAUCAAUCUGAAAUGGAAUGCCACACUCAGCUGAAGUUAACUUAUAGACAUAAGCUCUUUCGGUGGGUAAGCCAACUCCGUACAGUGAAUAGAUUUCCAUAUCUGGAGCAGUUGGCAACCUACAAAACCAGAGUGAAGGAAGCAGAGCACUGAGAAAUAAAUGAACAUCUAUCAGCUAUUAGGAAAAUAUUCCCCAUUAAUUGCAUUAAUCAUUGGAAAGGUCAAGUAUUAGAACCACAACGGAGGAAAAAGGGUCCUAAAUGGUCAUUAUAUCAGAAUUAUAACAUCUUAGUUAAGCAAAAAAAUUAAGAAAACAUUUAAAUAAAAACUGUAGAUAAUUUCCGAUUAGGCAUAUUCUAAUAAGAUUGCAAUGAGAAGUUGAACUAUUAUGCAUAUGAGGGUUGCAUAUCCAGAUGGAAUUCCAUCUUAAAAAGUAUCAUCUUCCGGCACAGCACAAUAUUAAGCUUGAUUUAUGAAUUUAAAUUACUUCAAUUUACCAUUUCACUUAGUUUGUCAAAUACAUAAAACUAAAUAAGAAGAUCGACAACGAUAUUACCAUAAACAACAUUCAGAAAGUGAUACCAAGAAAAAUCAUCAACGCACAGCAAUAAUAAUAACUGAAAUAAUGAAGUAUAAACACUCUUACGUUGUCUCCAAGGGGUUUGACCAGUAUUUGUAGUGUUGGUACUCUGGGUUAUCCAAGUUUUCAGCAAUUCCAUAAGAGAAAUGAGCAUCACCACGUGCCAUCAUCUUUGGAGCAACAAAGUGAAGCAAAUCUAUAAUUAAUCCAGCAGUGUAAGCUUUAAAUUCUGCUACAGCUUUAAUACCACCAUAUCCCAUUUCAUGAUAUUCUGUCCACACUUCGCUGCAAGUACUAUUUGCAACACUUUGGCCCUUGAAAGCAUCCUGCACAAUGAUAGAGCCAAAAACUUAAAUGCAAUGAAUCAAAAUAAAAUGAUUCAGGGGUUGUAUUCAUAGCAUUGAGCAAACAAGAGAAAAGACUAGUUUAUUUUCCCGAGGAAACUUAAAAAAUAAGACAAGUUUCAGUGACACAAAAGCAUAUUGUCAUGCAUAUCUGCAUCAUCCACACGGUAUAAUUCACUGAACAGUCUACAAUAGGAGGUUGCACAUAUAGGCUGACUUCUGAAGAUCCCAAAUUUCUUCACCUUCAUUUAGCCAAAUGGUGGAUAACUUGAAGGACAACCAAAGCAUCAUACGAUGACACAGGAAAACUAACUCACAGAUUCUUGUAACAGGUAAUUGUUCUCCAAAGAAAAAUUGCUAUUAGUUUACAAGCUUCGAAAUAAUCAAUUCUCAACUUGUGAUGUGACAUAUAAAUGAAGGGCAUCUUCUGAUUUCCGCAAACAUCAUACCACACAUUGCCUCAAAAGUGAAAGAAAAGACCAGUAAAGUUCCAUAAUUCUCAAUAAAAAUCAACCAAAUAAUUUGCUUCUAAAUGGGCAUCAGCUGCCAUUUGAUAUGUACACACACACACACGCAUAAAUUCCGACCACAACUUCAAGGAAAGAUAGCCUUACCCUAAAAUCAAUCCUUUCAAUCUCAGAUGAAGGUGCGUCUACUACAUCUUUUCCAAAUGAUAUAACUCUUCCAUAAUUUACAUGCUUUAUUUGAGAAACCACAACUUCACUCCCAUUUUCAUUAGCAAUCUGGGUAUCAUUGGCUAUUUGCCUUUUUCUGCUAGGAGAAUGGCAUUCCUCAGGUGACCAGUCAAGACCACCCCAUAUAGUGUCCCCGCCUUUCGGUAUCAUUGACAUGGUUGAAUCCCAAGUGCGGGUCAUCCUCAUUAAAUGUUGCAAGGUUUGAUGAGGAAAAAGAUCAUGAUCCAAAAAACCUGGUGUAAUGGCCCUAAAUUUUGAGGGACAUAUUCUUAGUUCUUCAUUAAGCAAGAAAUAAAAUCCACUCGUUCAGAAAUAAAAUCCACUUGUUCAUCUUAUACAAAAUUAAAUGACUAAUAGAUAAAUCGUAUGCAGCCAAGCAAUGUAUAAGCAUGGUCACUAGUGAUAAGAGACACCUAGACUCCACUCAAGAAAUAAAACAAACACUUACAGGUUGUAAAUUUGCUUGGCUCAAAAGAAAAUGCAGACAUUUAGUUUCAAAUAGGGAAGCAGAGCAAAGAAACAAAAAUAAACAAAAGUAGGCAAAUGAAACAAGAAUCAAAAGUUUAUUUCUUUUAACACAACAUCACAGGCAAAGAUUCAUUUAUGAUAAUUUGCAAUAUAAUCUUUCCCGCAUUGUACAACAACAAGACAAGUGAUAUAAGCUGGUGAAGAAUGCCAAAAACACACUUCAACACAGUCACAAUAUUUUGUGAGGUCAAAUAAAGCAUGGCUGUCUUUUAUAAGAAUAUAAGCAUAAACAUAGAUCCAAACUACAGCCGUAACUAGGACCACUAUAAAUUGAACAAUAGAUCAAGCUCUUAGCUGCAAAAACUAAGAAUAUUUUGGGAAUAAAUAUGACAAAGUGGCUCCUUUAAAAACGCCCUAAUGAUGACAGAGUUUCCCCAAAAAGAAAAAAAAUAUAUAUAUAUAUAUACCAGAAUGCACUAGAAAUUGGUAUCCAUGGUUGUUUUACAUUUUUAUAGGCAAAUAAAUUCAAUUUUGUCUUGCAGACAGUGUGUUGCUGAAAAAAGAGGGAGAGAGAUUACUCAAGAGCACUUAUAGAGCAGCCAAGAAAUUAGUUGAAAUCAUGAUUCUGGGAUUGCAUAAAUCAAGUAUACUAGUUCAGAAGGUUGUCGUGAUGAAUGGUGAGGAUAUUUGAAACAAAUUAAUUUGCCACAAAUUGCUUGAAUUUUCCCAAUCCUCAGUGAAGAGAUUAUUAUUCUUGCAAAAUUUAUUUACAUCAAAUAACUCAUCAAAGCAUGAAUGCUUUGUAUCUGUGUGCGGAUAGAUACUAGAUAUUUACCUGGCAACUGCAACAUCUUUAGCUUCAGCAGAGAAAAGCCCAGCAACAGCUUUUGGAACACCUAAAAAUGGACCACCAAUGUUCAUCACUGCCUUUAUAUGCUUAGCACACCAAUCAGGUCCACCACCACCCCCCAUUGGAGCUGGUGCCUCGACCCACUUCAUAAAAUGUAGAAAGUACAAAACGCCCAUUGAAUGUGGAAUAAUAACUGCUUUUUUCCCACCAUUUGUAGCUACCAUCAAUUCUAUGUUGCUUUUAAUUCGGCUGAGUGUUUGGUCCCUCACCUGAUUAAUUAAGUUCAAAAGAAAUAUUAACAUAGAGCAUAUAAUCCAUGAAAAUAUGUAAAUGAAAAACCAGCUUCAAAAUCAAUGAACUCCAAAUGCAUUGGCAUAAUAUCAAAAAGAAAUUCAAGUUGGAAGAAUACCUCAGUGUUUUGAAAUGAAAGUCUCCAAUCAUAAGCAGCCAUAUACAUGUUUUUCUCCUCAUAUCCAAUAUUUGCCAAGUUAGCAAUCAGAACUGCCCAAACAAAAUAACCAGGAGCAAAGUAAUCAGCAGCCACAAGUCCAGAGACGGGCCUGACCCUUAUACCAGAAGGAUCUAGUCCGGUUUCAUUGUCCAGUGACAUGUGCUCCACCCAGCAUAGAGGUCUGCAAAAAUCCAUUUCAGAUUCACAGAAACGUGCUUAAUUAUCUGAACCAAUCAUCAAAAUUCGCAAGCGCAACUAACAUACAUAAAAUUGACAAGAAACCAAUCUCCAAGCCCACACCUAUGGCAAAGGUUUUUAUCUCUAGAUCAAUCAUGUGCCAUUUCAGGAUAGUAGAUUAUUUCCACACCGUUAUAUUAAUUGGAAAUAGCAGAAAAAUUGUCCAGGGAUACCUAGCAAAUGGAUUAAAUUAAACCCAAGAAUUAAUCAACAAACAAUAAUCGAUACCUCUUAUAAACUUCACCAAAAGUACCGCCCCACAAGCGCUUCCUGAACAACCCAUCAGCACACUGGUGCCCUUCCCACAGCUCUAAUCCACCUGUCACAAUUCCCGGCACAAACACCACCGGAUGCUUCACCGUCAACCCCUCCUUCUUCAAUUUCACGCCCGGUGGGUCCGGCACCGGGCCCGUAAUUGCCUCCGUCACGUACUGAUUAAACGACGUCGGAAUUGCGUUGUAUAAAAAUAGCAAAAACCACCACGUCACGCAUAUCCAACCAAUCAGCCAACAGCAAGAAUCAAUACACGACCAACUCUUCUGUUUUUUGGGGUUUUUGUCCUUUGAAGCAGCUUUGUUUUUCUUUUCAUCUUCUUGGCAAAUGUUUGGGUCUGAUUCUGUGGCGUUUGAGGUUCCGGUCGGUUUUCUUUGGCGAAGUAAAGACAUUGUUUAUAAAACUCUGAUUGUUUCUAGGGAAAAUCAAUGAAGUUUCUCGAGAAGUUUUUUUAUUUUUCUUGAAAAAAAAAGAAGUUAUUUGAAAAUUGAAGAAAAAUUGAUUAUAUUCUGUCUCUAAUUUUCCCGAGAAACUGUUUAGUUUCCCGGAAACAAUCUGCUUACGAGUACAAAAUAUCAGCUUAUUCGCAUUACAAAGGAAGAAGCUUUUUAGGUUCUGUUCGUUUCCAGAUUUACAUAGCUAACUGAAUAGACUUAAAUUAAACUGAAAUAAGCGUUUUAAUUAACUCAAAAAACGUAAAUUUUAGCUAAAACUGCUCAACAAGUUUGGGGAAAGAAAAAGAUAUGAGAAUAGCGACGGAUAAGGUUGAAAGAGUAAAUAAAAAUGAUAGUGCUAGCUUUUUUAUUAAAUUUAUGAAGAAAAAGUUAACUGAGAAAAUAUUUAUUUUCUCGGGAAAGAAGCAAAGGGCAAUGGACAUUUGGCGGGGAAUAAAGGCAGUUGGGCUCAAUAACGGCGGUGAGGCGUGUGAGUGGGAGGAGCUGAUAAGGCGUUGAUUGGUUAGUCGCUUUCCCCCUGAGACCCAGUAAAAUAUUUACACGCGGGUAUGCUUUAUCUUUUGGCCCGCCAGCCUGUCAGAUGAGGAGUCUAGAGUGCAGAGACAGCUAUUUAUUAAUUGCUCAAAACGACUCGUUUCUAGAUGCAUUUGACCGUUUUUUAUUUUAAUAAUAAAGGCGUUUCUAAGGAUUUGUCGACCGUUACGUAAAUAACAAUAUGUUCCUAUUUGAUCACAUUUUUAAGUUCAAAUAAUCAAAUUUGAUGGUUAAAUUUAUUUUUUUAAAAAUUGACGACCAAAUUUUCAAACUAAGACUACAGAGGGCCGGUUGAAAGAAUAUUCCCAAUCCCCAUUUUGCACGUGGUCACAUGACUCGCAUGCAAUUUAAAGGGUAUUUUACGGUCGAGUCUUUAUGGCUGGCUAGCUAAGUUGUCAAACAAACCAAUAAGUCACAUAAUCAAUUAGUAAAAUGUUAUUAAUUUCUUUCUGGCCUGGUCCGUCUUUAACUUUUUAGCUUAUUAGCACACAGGAGGUUACUUUGACAAUUUUAUUGCUAUAAUGUAAAAAGAUCAAUUACUGAUAAAUAAAAAAAAUGUGUUCAUUGGCUGGACCCUUUUCAUUCUAUUAUUUUAACAAAUUAUUUUAUGAUUUAUGUAAUUGUAAUAUUUCUAAAUAAUCCAAUAGCUUUUAAAAUUAGAUUUCAUGAGAUAUCGCCAUAUGAGAUAUCUUUUCUUACCAUCCCUAAUACAUAGUUCAAUUGGCCAUGAAUGUUUUUUUAUCGCACUUGUGAUCACUAAAAUUUGAAUAAUAAUGGGCGAUCUACAACCAUGUAUGUAUAAUAGUGGAUUCAUAGUAAUCGCUUAAUAAUAUCAACAAAAAAAAAAAAAAGGAGAGAAUUUGCAUUUAUGAUGUUUGUCUAAUAAUAAUUGCAGGUUCUGAUGAUUUUAGGUGACUCAAUACAAUCACUUCAUUUCAUUGAAUUCAUAAAACUUUAAGCUAUAAUGAAUACAUAUUUCUACCCCCCUAAGAAAAUGGCAAAAAAAAGAAAACAACAAACAUACAAUCAUAAAAAUCCGAAGAUAUUUUCUUCUUUUCUGUCGUAUAAGUUUAUAUCAAAAUCAGUUACAACAACCGCAUGUCUUCCCCCCAGCACAAAACAGAAGCAUCGGGGUGAUGAGACCGACAAGAGAGUUUACGCUUUACACCAUAAAAUCCGGCAUCUGGCCUCCAAUCCUGCCGUCAACAUUAGUGGGAAAUCUGGCAUGCCUCCAAGCAUGCCAACAAAUUUGGCAGCUUCGUAUAUGCACCGGUGGACAGAAGGCCAUUUCCACCAAAUCAAUUUUAUCCUUAAGUUCCAAAGCUGCACUGACAAGAAUUGGAAAGGUUUCAGCUAGUGCUCUUGAACAGAGAUGACGAAAACAUGAGUUUACAAUAUCACAAGCAGAAAUAGUUCAGAUGCAAUUUUUGCUUUCCACAAGAAAUUGCAAAUGGCAGUUAAUUUGGAAAGAUAUAGUGGCAUGGUGAAUCCUCCUUAUGAAAAGAUUGAUAUAGCUGUAAAAUCAGGAGAAAGUGCAGACCCUUCGAAUUACAGUUGCAAGUUGAUUUUCUCGGACAUCUUGAAGAUGUCGGAAUGAACUUGAUCACCUCCCAAGUCUUCUCCUCUAGCCCCAGCUGCCACCCUUAUAAUAUCUUCAAUCAAUUGAAAAUUUCCCAUUAUAUCAACAUGAGCACCACUUUGAGUGCCUCGGCCCUCCAGCAGAUUGGCUGGAGGAGAAUGCUCGUACUCCCUAAGAUAUGUCCGAAUCCCAGAAGGAUUAAAUCUAGUUUUCCCGCGCCAACCUUUUGCACACAUGAAACCUGCACUUAAAACAGGUACAGUCUCAUCCCCGUCUACAGCAUAGACUCCAUCCUUCAGAGGGGUAUCAUCAUCAUCGGCUGAAGUAUCAAUCUGAAAUGGAAUGUAGCAAUCAGCUGAGGGAGUUAAUUUGUAGACAUAAGCUCUUUCGGUUGGUAUGCCAACU